CCGAGUACCGGGUCUCUCAGGCCCUUACUCCCACCCAAUGUGUACCUUACCAUUUAUUUCGUUGCUUUGGCGGGUUCAGUGCCCACCUCCGGGGGGGUCACCCCCGCCAAAGGAACACCUUUAAACUCUUGUCAACUGUGUUGUCUGAGAAAAAAACAAAAUAAAUUA
rnacentral:misc_RNA from 1 species